UACAGAGGGUGCGAGCGUUGUUCGGAAUUAUUGGGCGUAAAGGGCGCGUAGGCGGUGCGGUAAGUCACCUGUGAAAUCUCCUGGCUCAACUGGGAGCUUGCAGGCGAAACUGCCGUGCUGGAGUGUGGGAGAGGUGCGUGGAAUUCCUGGUGUAGCGGUGAAAUGCGUAGAUAUUGGGAAGAACACCGGUGGCGAAGGCGGCGACCUGGUCCUUGACUGACGCUGAGACGCGAAAGCGUGGGGAGCGAACAGG
rnacentral:rRNA from 1 species